AUGUUUGUAUUUGAUUGUAUGUUAUUGAAAACGGUUGCAAUGCAUUGUUUUCUUUGUAUUUUGUUUGAGGUUUGAACAUGUUAAAUGUUCAAAUCAUAUGAUUUCGCGAAUGUUCAGAAUGGCAGCAAAUUAGUAUAUUCACUUUUAGAUAACAACUUAUACACUCAGUUGAAACACCAUAAUAUCUGUUUGCAUGCUCUAAUUUACAGCACCAGUAGGGUGAGAGAGGAUUGAAGGAAGAGAAAGAGAAAAGGGGACUCAAUUCCACAAAUUGAUCCUUCGAUUGAGAUUCACUCUGGGAUACAAGUUAUUUCUUCUGCAUAAUUUGAUUAUGAACUUCUAACCUUAUUAAAAGAAGUGAACUUGGAAA